UAAAAACCGAAUCUAUCCGGCAACGAACUAUUAUUCUUUUGGAGGUCAUUCUCUAUCGUUUCCGAGGAGGAAAUCGGGCAUUCCGUGCUGUAUCUGAUUUACUCUAACAAAUUCGGCAAUAUAAAAUUGUAUUCAAUUUAAACAUUGGUCCAGAAGCGAGCCUAAUUAUUAGCGAAAUAUAGUAUUUUAUAUAAAUAUAAAAAUAUUCGUAAAAUUCUAUAUAUUAUUAUGACGUAUAUGACGGGUUGUCC